rnacentral:rRNA from 1 species
GACGAACGCUGGCGGCGUGCCUAAUACAUGCAAGUAGAACGCUGAAGAGAGGAGCUUGCUCUUCUUGGAUGAGUUGCGAACGGGUGAGUAACGCGUAGGUAACCUGCCUUGUAGCGGGGGAUAACUAUUGGAAACGAUAGCUAAUACCGCAUAACAAUGGAUUACACAUGUCAUUUAUUUGAAAGGGGCAAUUGCUCCACUACAAGAUGGACCUGCGUUGUAUUAGCUAGUAGGUGAGGUAACGGCUCACCUAGGCGACGAUACAUAGCCGACCUGAGAGGGUGAUCGGCCACACUGGGACUGAGACACGGCCCAGACUCCUACGGGAGGCAGCAGUAGGGAAUCUUCGGCAAUGGGGCAACCCUGACCGAGCAACGCCGCGGGAGUGAAGAAGGGUUUCGGAUCGUAAAGCUCUGUUGUAAGUCAAGAACGAGUGUGAGAGUGGAAAGUUCACACUGUGACGGUAGCUUACCAGAAAGGGACGGCUAACUACGUG